GAGGAGGUUGCGGCAAUAACAGGUCUGUGAUGCCCUCAGAUGUCCCGGGCUGCACACGUGCUACAAUGAGUGGCGCAAUGUGCUAAUGUUUAAGGGAUAAGAGUGUGGUCAGUAGAACGUCGGGAUUUCCCCUGACGUCUCCCCCGCACGAUUAUCAGCCUUCCCUUAACAGGGCGGGCAACCUUUUCAAAAUACUGGUUUGAUGUUAAAGUAUUGAGUCGUUUUUUUUGGAUGGUGGUUUGUUAACCAAUACCAUCCGGCAACUGCUCGCGAGUUUGUGGUUCUGGCGACUCAUGGUGGGGACCGACGUUUGUAAUUUUUUGUCGCGUGUUAACUAGGAAUGCCUUGUACUGUCGAUUCACUAAGUUACUGGGAAUACGUCCCUGCCCUUUGUACACACCGCCCGUCGCUCUUAC
rnacentral:rRNA from 1 species